rnacentral:rRNA from 1 species
GACGAACGCUGGCGGCGUGCUUAACACAUGCAAGUCGAACGGAAAGGCCCUGCUUUUGUGGGGUGCUCGAGUGGCGAACGGGUGAGUAACACGUGAGUAACCUGGCCUUGACUUUGGGAUAACUUCAGGAAACUGGGGCUAAUACCGGAUAGGAGCUCCUGCUGCAUGGUGGUGGUUGGAAAGUUUCGGCGGUUGGGGAUGGACUCGCGGCUUAUCAGCUUGUUGGUGGGGUAGUGGCUUACCAAGGCUUUGACGGGUAGCCGGCCUGAGAGGGUGACCGGCCACAUUGGGACUGAGAUACGGCCCAGACUCCUACGGGAGGCAGCAGUGGGGAAUAUUGCACAAUGGGCGGAAGCCUGAUGCAGCAACGCCGCGUGCGGGAUGACGGCCUUCGGGUUGUAAACCGCUUUCGCCUGUGACGAAGCGUGAGUGACGGUAAUGGGUAAAGAAGCACCGGCUAACUACGUG